rnacentral:rRNA from 1 species
UAGUCCACGCCGUAAACGAUGGGUACUAGGUGUUGCGGGUAACCACUCCUGCAGUGCCGCAGCUAACGCAUUAAGUACCCCGCCUGGGGAGUACGGCCGCAAGGCUAAAACUCAAAGGAAUUGACGGGGCCCGCACAAGCGGUGGAGCAUGUGGUUUAAUUCGACGCAACGCGAAGAACCUUACCUGGGUUUGACAUCCCGAUCGCACCUUUUGGAAACAUUAGGAUCAGUUCGGCUGGAUCGGUGACAGGUGCUGCAUGGCUGUCGUCAGCUCGUGUCGUGAGAUGUUGGGUUAAGUCCCGCAACGAGCGCAACCCUUGUCCUUAGUUGCCAUCAUUUAGUUGGGCACUCUAGGGANACUGCCGGUGUUAAGCCGGAGGAAGGUGGGGAUGACGUCAAGUCCUCAUGGGCCCUUAUAUCCAGGGGCUACACACGUGCUACAAUGGCCGGGUACAAAGGGGCAGGCAAUACCGCGAGGUGGAGCUAAUCCCAAAAAGCCGGGUCCCAGUUCGGGAUUGGGAGUCUGC